UACGUAGGGAGCAAGCGUUGUCCGGAAUCAUUGGGCGUAAAGAGCGUGUAGGCGGCCACUUAAGUCCUGCGUGAAAUCCUGCGGCUCAACCGCAGGCGGUCGUGGGAAACUGGGUGGCUAGAGUGCGGGAGAGGAGAGUGGAAUUCCUGGUGUAGCGGUGGAAUGCGCAGAUAUCAGGAAGAACACCCGUGGCGAAGGCGGCUCUCUGGAACGCAACUGACGCUGAGACGCGAAAGCGUGGGGAGCAAACAGG
rnacentral:rRNA from 1 species